GCUUCAUUUCUCCACCUUUUCAUUAAUUCCCACGUUUCACACUUUCUAUCCUUACUAAAUUUCUUCGCAUAUUUUCUUCUCUUACGUAUUGCCUCUUUCCAUUCUGCAUUCAUGUAUGGGACGUCUUUCUUUCUCACUCUCAUUUUCUUCACAGGCAUAUGUCUGUCUAUUACUUCCAUGAACUUACUUUUCCAAUUGGCGUACCGUUCAU